rfam:Pseudocohnilembus persalinus scaffold778, whole genome shotgun sequence.
UCCCGAGUAGUAUAACGGUUAGAAUAUUUGCCUUUCACGCAAGAGAUCGGGGUUCGAUUCCCCGCUCGGGAG